rnacentral:ribozyme from 13 species
UUUUUUUUUUUUUUUUUUUUUUUUUUUUUUUCUCCU